rnacentral:rRNA from 1 species
CCUGACGACCAUAGCAAGGUGGCCCCACUCCUUCCCAUCCCGAACAGGACAGUGAAACGCCUUCGCGCCGAUGAUAGUUGGUUUACGCCUGUGAAAGUAGGUCAUCGU